GACGAACGCUGGCGGCGUGCUUAACACAUGCAAGUCGAACGGAAAGGCCUGCUUUCCCCUGUGGAUUGCGGGUACUCGAGUGGCGAACGGGUGAGUAACACGUGAGUGAUCUGCCCCCAACUUGGGUAUAAGCCUGGGAAACUGGGUCUAAUUCCCGAUAGGACUGCAGGGUGGUGCCUGUGGUGGAAAACGAUUUUCUAGUGGUUGGGGAUGAGCUCGCGGCCUAUCAGCUUGUUGGUGGGGUAAUGGCCUACCAAGGCGGCGACGGGUAGCCGGCCUGAGAGGGUGGACGGCCACAUUGGGACUGAGAUACGGCCCAGACGCCUACGGGAGGCAGCAGUGGGGAAUAUUGCACAAUGGGCGGAAGCCUGAUGCAGCGACGCCGCGUGGGGGAUGACGGCCUUCGGGUUGUAAACUCCUUUCGACCGCGAGGAAGCCACCUGGUUGGAAGGGUGGUGACGGUAGUGGUAGAAGAAGCACCGGCUAACUACGUG
rnacentral:rRNA from 1 species